CGGCUUAUUCGGCUCGAGAAACCUAUUUCCAACCCGUUUGUCACCGUUCCAACCCUCUCGAACUUAGUUUCGACCCCGUUUAAGGAACCAACCACCAACGGAAGCGUAGGAUGUAUACGAGGAGCUAGGAGCUUACGUUUAUAUUUUAGGGAGUACUUCGGCUAAGGCCUACCAAAUAAAGGCAAGCCACCCAUGUGAGAUUGACGGCGGCAUCGCACACCUCAAGACUGUGGCACAUGCAUAGGAUAGUUGUUUUCCAUUUCGUAGUAUAGGUUAGUGUAGAUUGAGUUUUGUUUGCA